GUGCACGAUGCCGUGCUGGUGGCUGAAGUUCAGCGCCUGGCAGGCGUCGGCGAUGAUCUCGAUGGCCCGGCGCGGCGGGAUCGGACCCUCGCCGUGCACG
rnacentral:tRNA from 1 species